UGUAAUAACAUUAAUGUAUCCAAUUUUCCGGCAAAGAAGAUUAUGUCAACAGUCUUGUCUGAAAAUAUCAAAUGCUAGCUCAUAUGGUUUAUUAACGUUGCUAUUUAGCUAAUUGAACGGAUAACUUAGUCGAUAGAUGAAAUGUGGAGGUUGAACGCAGUCCGCCACAAGGCUGGACGUCAGGGCAGCGACUUGGAGGAGUUCAAGUUCAAGAGACGAGAACAUGAAAAAGAGUUGAGACGGGCCCGGAAGGACAGCCAGCUGGUCAGCAAGAGACUCCUGCUGAAUGAUGACGAGGAGGAGGAUGGCACCAUGGACACACUGGCCAGCGAUCAGGUGGUAGAGUUGUUCAACAUGGUUCGCCAUGGCAGGGACUUGGUGAAGAAAGAAGCUGACCUAAGAGCGCUGAGGAAAGCCCUCCGCAGCCCCUCAGCCCACCUCAUCCUUAUCAAUGUCGUCUGGAGGCUGCCCGCUGUCUCCACGAGCUGUCCCACUCCCCCCACAGCGAGGUGGACUCGUUGAGGCUCCGACAGGCCACACCCUACCUGAUCACCUUCCUCUCUGGACAGAGCCCCAAGUUCACUGAGCUGUGUCUCUACACCCUGGGUAACAUGUGUCCAGACAGCGAGAAUGUAAGAGAUAUGCUUCUAGCUCAGGGCAUCAUACCUGCUUUGAACAACUGCAUCCAGAUCCACAGGACUAACCUGGCAGUGGUUGAAGCAGUAGGGUUCACCCUCUCCCAGCUCAUCUCAGCGAACUACGUCACAGGGACAAUCAUCCCGGCAGUCUUGGCGUCUGGUUUGAUCCCUCGCCUCCUCUCAGUGUUGACCCCUGACUCUCAGUUUGGCCUGGGACCAGUCAUUGAGUGUGCCUGGUGCCUGCACUACCUGGCCUGCAGGUCAGACACUUCACCUUAGAAUCAAGGUUAAUCCCAAAUGCCACCCUAUUCCCUGUAUAGUGCACUACUUUUGACCAGAGCCCUAUGGUCCUGGUCAAAAGUAGUGCACUUUGUAGGGAAUUUGGGAUGCACACUAUGUCACCCAGGAGGACCAGCUACUGUGUCUGUUUGUUGUUGCCAUGGAUAUGGUGCUGUUAUACUGGAUACAAUGUGGUGGCACUGUGUGAUUCUUUUGUCUGUUUUUUGCUCUCUUGUCUAAAGCAACGUGGACAAUGGGGCACUGGUGGCCCAAGGUACUCUUCUACAUUGCACUUCCCUCUUGGUGACACUUGGUGUUGCUGUUGCUAAAGGAAGUAUAGAGGAGGGAAUUGAGCUGUUGAUCUGGCCCCUGCUGCGCUGUGUGGGGAACCUGCUGUUAUCUGGGCCCCUGGGGGCCCUCCAGCCCCAGCUAAACGAUAGCCGUCUCCUGGCUGCGCUGUGUGCUUUUCCUCAGGCCUUCCUCCAGACCCACCCAGCCCUGGCCAGAGAGAGCAUCUGGGUCCUCAACAACCUCACAGCUGCUGCAGACUCCAGUGUGUUCUGUUCUGCUCUGUUCUAUCUGAAUCUGGUUCCUGCUCUGAUCCAGCUCCUGCCCUUCUCCCACGGCAUUAACAUCAUGGUGCUAAGGGUUCUGGGUAACAUUGCCCAUCAGGGGAGAGAGUACUGUCUCCACCUGGCUCAAGCUGGCCUGCUGCCGGCUCUCUGUGCCACACUCAAGAUGGCCGACACCGAGGUGGUGACCUUCAGUCUGGAGGUGCUGGGCCAGCUGAUGGCCAGUGACCCACAGCUUGCAGAGGAGUUUGUGAGGCAAAGUGGGCUCCCCAUGCUGGAAGCCAUCCAGUAUAGCAACCAGGAGACUAUCCGCCUCAGAGCAACACACCUGCUGGAACAUCACCUGCCCCCACACUGCACGGUGGAUACCUCUGCAUCCCAGUGAGGAGCCUACAGAACGGGAGUGCCACAAAACCCAGACUUACAAAUACUUUAAACAGGUCUACUCAGAAAACCUACUAGUACAUUUCAAGUUUGUAUUAAAUUAUGUGAAGAUGCUCAAAUGUAAAUAUGUGCUGGAUAUCAAUAGGAUGUUAUUUUUUACACUGCUUUAAUAAAAUGCCAAAUUAUACCAACAGAAUGUGAUGUCUUUGGAGCCUCUUGUUUUCGUUUGAUUACUACAGCAGGUGUGCGUGCGUGUGUGCGUGUGAGUGACUCAGUAACCUCGUCCCCAAGCUAAUUGCGCAUAGUGAGGAGGUGUCCGGUGAACAAGUGUCUAAGAGCCAGGGAGGCCGGCAGGUAGAGGCUGUUUGAAGUAGUGAGACGUACUGA